CCGAGACCUUUCCAACGAAUGCAAGACCGUGGAAAUCGGUUCGUGCGUUCUGGAGUUAUAGCGUCCGG
rnacentral:pre_miRNA from 1 species